CUCCCACUGCAUUUUUGCAAACAAGCUAAAGAAGUAUGGGUUGGAUGAAUGGGCUAUAAGCUGGAUAGAAAUGUGGCUGGAUUGUUGGGCUCAACAGGUAGUAAUCAAUGGCUCAAUGUCUAAUUGGCAGCCAGUAUCAAGUGGAGUG